rnacentral:rRNA from 1 species
AAUGGGGGAAACCCUGAUGCAGCGAUGCCGCGUGAGUGAAGAAGGCCCUUGGGUUGUAAAACUCUUUCGUCGGGGAAGAAAAUGACUGUACCCGAAUAAGAAGGUCCGGCUAACUUCGUGCCAGCAGCCGCGGUAAUACGAAGGGACCUAGCGUAGUUCGGAAUUACUGGGCUUAAAGAGCUCGUAGGUGGUUAAAAAAGUUGAUGGUGAAAUCCCAAGGCUCAACCUUGGAACUGCCAUCAAAACUUUUUAGCUAGAGUGUGAUAGAGGUAAGUGGAAUUUCUAGUGUAGAGGUGAAAUUCGUAGAUAUUAGAAAGAACACCAAAUGCGAAGGCAACUUACUGGGUCACUACUGACACUGAGGAGCGAAAGCAUGGGUAGCGAAGAGGAUU